GCGGGCAUGGUGAAGUGGUAUCACAGAUGCUUCCCAAGCAUCUAUCACGGGUUCGAGUCCCGUUGCCCGCU
rnacentral:tRNA from 1 species